GACAGUGAUGUUCAAGAAGGGGAGGCUUGUACUCAGGUUGAAGUCUCUGUUGUUGAAUUCAACCAUUCCGCUGGUUCUCGCCAUCUCACUCAAUCCACCUCGGAAGAGAAGGCCGCCAUAAUCGAGAGAAUGGUAAAACGAUUCAAACCUACUCCACUACCCUCACGUGCUCUUCCGUGGACAUUCAGGAAAGCGUGGAUGGACAGAUACAAGUCUAUUGCAGCGAAGCAGUUGGACGAGAUUGAAGCAGUGAUGCCACUAAUGGAAGUUCUUAACCUGAUUCAUGAUCCUCACAAAGAUGUGAGAAAUUUAAUACUGGAAAGGAUCAAGAUGUAUCACGAUUCGGAUGAUGAAAGUGAUGCCACUCCAUCUCGAGCUGUUGAUAAGAGGAUUGUUCAAGAGAAGUUAGAAGAUCCUGGAUCUUUCACUCUACCAUGUUCCAUUGGGGAAUUUGCUUUCAGCGAUUGUCUGUACGAUCUCGGAGCCUCUGUUAGCUUGAUGCCACUCUCUGUGGCAAGAAGGUUAGAGUUUAUUCAUUAUAAACCUUGCGACCUGACUUUGAUCCUUGCGGAUAGGUCUUCUAGAAAACCCUUCGGCAUGCUGAAAGACCUACCAUUCAUGAUUAAUGGAGUAGAAGUGCCUACAGACUUCAUGGUGCUGGAUAUGGAAGUAGAGCAUAAGGAUCCCUUAAUACUGGGAAGACCAUUCUUAGCUUCAGUGGGAGCAGUGAUAGAUGUCAGGGAAGGGAAAAUAAGUCUCAACCUUGGAAAGCAUAUCAAGUUGCAGUUUGGCAUCAACAAAACUCCACAAGGGUCAACUGAAGAUGGAAGAACCUCUGGAAAUGAUAGAGCGAUCUCAGGAGAAGGAUAUGAGACUGAAAGAGUGAAAGAACUUAAAAAGAGGUCUGAUAAGCAAGAUGAAACUAUAGAGAAGCUAGCCCACACUAUUGAGGAACUUAGGAGUAAGCUAAAUCAGAUGCAGAAGGAAGCUCAACCUAAAGGCAGGAUUAACACUAUUCCGAGAAAAUAAUUCACUUCAAGAUGAUCUCAAGAGACAGAUUACCCUCCAGAAGAGAAGGAAGCCUAUUUUGAAGAAAGGGGAAUUGAGUAUUCUGCUGCAGACCUCUCCAGGGAGGACACUAAGCAUGAUGAUGGUAUCAGAGAGGAUUAUGCUGACCCUCUCUACAGUUCAUUUUCUUCUUGAUAACUGUGAGGAGUCAAGCUAGAGACUUAAAACAAGCUCACUUGGGAGGAAGUCCCAUGACUAUCCUUGUAAAUAAUUUUUACUUUUUUGUUAUUUUUUGAUUUGUUUUGGUUGUGUUUGUGGUUCUCAGGAAGAAAGGAGUAACGUGAAGGUAGAGUAAAAAUUCAAAACUUUUACUCUACUGAUGGCGUAGAGAUCGAGUAUAUUGGUCGAGUACGAGUGAUGUUUAAAAACCUAAAAAAAUUUUAAUCAUCGUUUUACUCGACCAACAGAAGCUACAGAGUCUUCCAGGAAGUUUAUCAAGAGACAAGAAGCAGCCAUUGUCUUCCUGGAGGUUUUCUAGUGAACAGAGAAGAGACAAGAAGACACUAUGGGAUCCGCCGCUGCCGCCCAUGUCUCCCAUGCACACCACCAAAAGACAAGAAAUCUAACUUCUCUUCGCUUAGCUACUCGACCUCUUCACCUUAUCCUAUCUUCACCUUCUACUCGACCUCGACGCCAUCACCAUCCCCACACCUAUUAAACUCGACCCCAUUCCCCCCUUAUUCAUCACAACCAACAAACCCAUCCUCAUCAAAGCCACAUACACUCGACCUCUUCGCCACUUGACCGAGCUCCCCGUUCGCAUAAACACUCGACUUCUUCUCCAUCAUCAUCCGUCCAAAGCAGCACUCGACCUCACCAUCUUUCUUAACCACGCACUCGACCGCUUCUCUCUCGCCUCUUCACCACCGUCUCGAGCUACCACUCGACCGCUCCUCGCCAUCACCACCUCUCAAUCGUCUCAACUUCACUUGACCGCUUCACGCCAUCUCUUUCAAGCUCGUCUCUCAUCACCAAACACUCGAUUCACAUCACCUUCUCUUCCGUCCAAGCCUCAUCAUUCGCCCUGAAGGAAUCACCGCCGCAGCUCAUCCCCAAUCCACUUGCUACUCGACCGCCACUCAUCACCAUUGUCAUCCUCACAACCUUCACUCGACCUCUCCACUACCACAACCACUCGACCGCUUCACACCGCCGUCUUCUCUUCUUCCGCGAGCUCCACUUUACUCGAUCCCCAAUCACCAUCUUCUUCAUCGCUUAAUCACUCGACUUCCCCAAGUUCACUCGAUUCAACUCCAAUCCUCGUCGUUUUCACCACUCAAGCUCCACAGCUUCACUCGGCUGUCAAUAACCACUCGACCAAGCAAAAUCACUCGAUCAACCGAAAAAAAAAAAUUAAAAACCGACGAUUUACUCUAUUAAAUCACUCGACCGGUUCACUUGGUUGGUUUGUGUUUUUGGUUUGUUGUUACUAACGUAUUAACAUUUAUUUUUGAGUUUUGUCCAUUUUAAGGUUUCAUCAUGAGUAACUACAUCGGAGAAUCCUCUAUGGACCCUGAUUACAAUGUAGAUGAAGCUGAGUCCUGGUCCGCUAGACCGAGAGAGCAACAUGUUUACCAGAGCUUCAGGGAUGAAUUCGAACGCUCUACAGCCCGACGUAAUCAGAGAAGAGCUGAAAUCGCCAGAGGAAAGAGGGCGAUGUCAAGUAGAUAUGAGCUGAUUGAUGAGGAUAUCGAGACUGAGUAUGAGCCAGAGUCAUGGCGCAGGGAGACGAAGCUGCUGAACAAAUCCGACGAGGUUACAGUGGAGGAGUAUAUCAGAUUCUUCGAGAUGAAUGAUUUCUGGGGAACGAGGUAUCCGUGUUAUGAGACUUUAGCCCAGCUAGGGUUACUAGAGGACGUGCAGCAUUUGUUCGAGAAGUGUCAUUUGGAGACACUCAUGUCUUACCCUUACCCUGCCUAUAAGGAGGAGACAAUCGAGUUUCUUUCCACGCUGCAAGUGGAGGUGUAUGAAGCACUCACAGACUUUGAGCUGGAUACCAUGGGAUUAGGCUUCUUGACGUUCUCAGUGAAUGAACAGCGGUAUCAGCUUUUGAUCAAGAAGUUAGAAGAACUGUUUGGUUUCCCUAGUGGAAAGGGAACCAAACCCAGAUUUGACAGAGGAGCUUAAGGAUUUGUGGGCCACUAUAGGGAACAAUCUACCGCUAAACUCGGCGCGGUCUAAGAGCAACCAAAUCCGAAGUCCUGUGAUCCGCUACUUUCAGCGAUCAGUCACCAACGUCUUUUACUCCAUGGAGUCUACAGGCACCGUGUCUAACACGGACAUGGAGAUGAUAGAUUAUGCACUUACAGGGAUUCUCCGCCGGACGAAGGGGAAGAAUGUCUUGAGAGGCGAUCUCAACAACGCACCACCAGUAAUGCCUCUGUUGAUCCAUCUGUGUGGAUACAGGAAGUGGGCGUUGACAAACGGGAAGAAGAAGGUGAGAGGAGCAGUAUGCGUGGGUGGCGUUGUGACGCCAAUUCUGGAAGCUUGUGGAGUCCCGCUCAAGGAACCAGGUUUAGCACCGAGGAUGAUGGACUUGGAUCAUUUGCGCAAAUGUGAGUUCUUGGAGUUUGACAUGGCUGGCGACUUUCACCGCUACAGGUUCGAGCAUUCAUCGAUUAGAAUCGCCAACAUUCUUCUCCCCUGCAUUGACGCUACUAGGAUUCUUGAGGGCAGGAACAUUGACUUCAAGCCUGCGCUUGAAGAUCUUUAUUUCGAGGGUAGUCCGCCAACCGAGGAGUUUAGUCACACCGAAGGAGCUACAACAGAAGAUGUUGAUGAGACGGAUGAUAUAGAUGAGGCGGAGUUUGACACGAGCAUGUAUCAUUUCAGUGAGCAUAUACCUCCUGCGAGGGAAAGCAAGAGUUUGAGCGAAGCUCACAGGAACAACAGCAAGCUGCAGAAGUGGUGAAAGAAAUAGGACAAGCUACUCGCCAAGUGCUUAAGGGCUAUCAAGUUUCUGAAGGACAAGCUCAACUGCUCCUCUUCCACUACAGCUAUUCCGCAGGGACAUCUCCCUCAGGACAUGCCUUCGAGGAGAUAUGACGCGCCCGAGCCAAGUCGGCGCAGGCCUGAGCCUAGAGAGCAGGAGAUUUCGCAUGUCCCUGCGAGGCAUUCAUCAUUUGAGCCUCGUGAAUCUGGGAGGAAGAGGAGGACCACACUCACUCGAUCUAGCAGUAGGAGCGGACGACUUCUGCAGUCUCGUAGUUUACGCGACCGCGGUGCUGGCCGCAACAGAGGAGAGAGGUCGAGUUUCCUCAGAGCUGUGCUGGCCGCCACAAAGCUGAUGAGGUCGAGUACCCACCUGCUGGAGCUGAUACAGAACAAGGCGGUUCGUCUAUGGCCUAGGAGCAAUCGCAGGCAGCCAUUGACGAGCAACUACGUUCAUUCUUCGACUGAGGUAAGUGCCUCACCUCACCAUUGUAUUAUACCGUAUGUUGUGAUUUGUUUCUUCAUUUUUUGUUUCUGUGAUUGGAUUUGUCCUGAGUACUCUCUUCCAAGUUUAUUCACACAAUGGACUGUGUGAUUUAAGUUUGGGGGAGGGCUCAGGAAGUGUGUGUUGCAUUGUGUAUAAUUUUGAGUCUGCAUUCAUCUAAGGCAUAGAAAAAACCAAAAAAAUUUGAAAAAUUUCAGAAAAUGAUUUCAUAAAAAAAAGAGUGUUCAUGUAGUUGCAUCACAGUUAGGAUCGAGUCUAGAGUGUUUCAUUUAGGAUUGUUGCAUAUGCAUAGGGGAUGAUGAUGAGAUAGCCUUGUAAGCAUUUUGAUUCACCGGAUAAACUCAGUGUCCUCGUUGCUAGUUGUCUGUUGCGUAGUCAAUGAAUUUGAAAUAAAACUGAACCAUGCCUAGAUUGCUCUACUCGACCACACUGUCAUGAUCUUAUACCAUUCCCUAUCAAUUUGAACCUGAAUCUGAUCUUUAAUUAUCAUGUCUGCAUCAAAUUUGAACUCAUGGAUACCCUAAAAUACUUGGAUUCUCUUAUUCAUUUUGAUCACUCUUGUUAAUCCAAGUAGCUGACUCUCCUUAUUAGAGCAGUUAACCCAAACCCAAACCUAGACUUUCUUUCAAGCCCUAUAUCACUUUUGAGUGUUUGUGAGGUCUUAUUCCGAUUAAGCUUGGUAGAAAGUGUUAGGUUCGUAACGAUAGAGAUAGUGUCUCAUGUAGUUCUAGUUCGCAUUUUUCGGACUAGAUAGGACUAAGUGGGCGUUUAUACUUUGGGUUGGGAUGUGUUUAAAAGAAAAAAAAGGGGGUUGAUUCAAUGAUAAGAAAAGGUAGAAGACUCUAGGUGAAGUAAGCUAAAGAAGCAGAAAAAGUCUAGUAAAGGUUUUGGGAUUUGUAAAGAAAAGAAAGAGUUCUUGUUAGCUAUUGGAGAUGGGCAAAAGCCCUUGGC
rnacentral:sRNA from 1 species